GUCGCCCAAGGUGUCAACAAACAUAACGCAUCGUAAUUAUCAAGGAAUGCAAUUAUUAAGGCAGUUGUUAAAGUAGCCUUAUCACGUUCCACAACUCAAGGAAGUCAAUCGAAGGCAGUUGGACGAUGAAAGAUAAUGGCAGCAGUUAAAAGGCGGUUUCAUGACAAAAUGACCACUACAAAGAAAGUGGGUAGUUAUAGGACGAUCAAGCAGUUUUCAGAGUAGUUAAUCACAAAGAGAUCGUCUAUGAGGUAUAAAAGGGAGAAAAGGCGUAGAAGCAAAGGACCGAAUCCAAAACUCUCGAACAAGAGAAUAUGUAAUUUUCAUUUCUUUAGCUUUUAGACUUAAGUACUUUCCUUUCUGUAACUCGUGUGCUUGCGCCCCUUGGAG
rnacentral:lncRNA from 1 species